rnacentral:tRNA from 1 species
UCCCUGGUGGUCCAGUGGCUAAGACUCCACACUCCUGAUGCAAGGAGCCUAGGUUCAAUUCCUGGUCAGGGAG